rnacentral:rRNA from 1 species
AGCCUGAACGCUGGCGGCGUGGCUAAGACAUGCAAGUCGUACGGGUGUAGCAAUACACCAGUGGCGGACGGGUGAGUAAUGUAUCGCUAACGUACCCCGGAUUCUGGGAUAGCUGCCCGAAAGGGCAGGUAAUACCGGAUGAUAUAUCCUUUUCGCAUGAUGAGGAUCUCAAAGGGAAGCCGUUCUGGGAGCGGGCGAUAUCGUAUCAGCUAGUUGGUGAGGUAACGGCUCACCAAGGCGACGACGCGUAGCCGGACUGAGAGGUUGGCCGGCCACAUUGGGACUGAGACACUGCCCAGACUCCUACGGGGGGCUGCAGUAACGAAUCUUCCGCAAUGCACGCAAGUGUGACGGAGCGACGCCGCGUGUGGGACGAAGUCCUUCGGGAUGUAAACCACUGUCAGGGGUUAGAAAGUUCUGAUCAACCCCAGAGGAAGGCACGGCUAACUCUGUGCCAGCAGCCGCGGUAA